GGAAGUAAAGGUGCUCUAGCUGUGACAUCUAUUACCACAUUGAUCAUUAGGGUUAAUUAGGAUUAUCUAGCUGGCUAGGCAGGUGUCCCCUUCACCACUCCAUGUAUAUCCUUCCUGAGACUGCAUGCUUAGUUGAAGGAGGUGACCCUCCUUGGUAGAGGAGAUCAAGGAUAUCAUUGAGUGGUUGUGCUUUGUUGCUGAAACUUCCAAACAAGCCCUCAAGAAACACACAUUGAACUACCCAUGCUAAGAUAAGGGAAUGGACAUCUUAAUGUCAUUUUCCUGUCUUU
rnacentral:snRNA from 1 species